GCACGACAGGACGAGGAGGAACUGUCAGUCUGGAUAAGAGGGAUUCUUUUCUUGCUCCUGGUGACAAAGGAGAGGAAAACGUGACGACUGAGUAAUCCCCGAAAGUUGAGAAGAUGGGAAAAAUACAAGUUUUAUGAUGGAAGGAAACACUGGUAAAGGUUUGUUUCUCUGAUGAGAAAUACAGAUGGACAGACGGAAAUUUGCUAGAAGAACCAGCUUAGAGAAGGGCCUCCCCGAUUGCCAGAGAGCUCAAUUAAAACUCCCUACUCAGGUGAUGGUGAUCUCUGCCUGGAUACUGGAAGAUUUAGAGGUGAAGGGCAGCAUCAACCAAUGAUCAGUAUAACCUUUGACUUAUGGGGAGGGUGCCCCAUCAUAUGACGUUGUGCAGUUCAGGUGUGGUCGGAUAUCAGUGAAAACGGCUCCUAUCCCAGGGCGAACCCAGUCUGCCAUUGAUGAGGACACCAUCAAGUGUUAUUUUGGAAGAUCGCUAUCAGCUAGCCCAAUAUAUCAAUAUUAGUGAUGGGUCUGAAGACAAAAUCAUUCAUGACCAUCUGCCCAUGCAAAAAUUGUCUGCUCGAUGGGUUCCCAGGCUUCUCACACCUUUCCAGAGGCAGGAACGGGUCCAUUUGCCAAGAAAAGCAGGAGGACUUUUUUAACAGACUAAUUACGCAGGAUGAAAUUUAGGUCAGUCAGUAUGAUCAGAAACUAAGGGCCAGUCAAAACAAUAGAAGCACUUUGACUCACCAACCCCCAAAGAGACACGUGUCACACACUCGGCAGGCAACAUCAUACUCCACAGCAUUGGGUAGUAAUGAUGGAUUUCAUGGCAAGAGGUACUGCAGUUACAGGAGCUUAUUACGCUUUACAGCUACAUAAAUUGUGGAGGGCUAUCAAAAGUAAGAAGCGAGGAAUCUUGACCAAAGUCGUCUGCCUCGUACAAGGCAAUGCCCCUGUUCUGUGGGUACGACAUCCUUCCUCCUCCUCCUCCUUAAUCUCCUGACCUUGUUCAACCUGAUUUCCAUGUCUUUGCGUCCUUGGGUGUUUGAAAGGCAAACGUUUCCAAGAUGAUGAGACUAAUUUCUGAAGUUACUACAUGGCUUCAAAUGCAACCAGUACACCCAUGGUACGUGGUUCACGGGAAAUCCUUAAUGAGAGCUCCUCAUUUAUGUGUGUGUGUGUAUGUAAAUAUAUAUGUGUGUAUAUAUAUCCAUAUAUAUAUAUGCAUAUGUAUAAAU